UGGUCAUGAUGUUUGUGCAGGAGUAG
rnacentral:piRNA from 1 species